rnacentral:rRNA from 1 species
UACAGGGGGGGCAAGCGUUUUUCGGAAUUACUGGGCGUAAAGGGCUCGUAGGGGGCCAACUCAGUCAGACGUGAAAUCCCUCAGCUUAACUGGGGAACUGCGUCUGAUACUGGAUGGCUUGAGUUUGGGAGAGGGAUGCGGAAUUCCAGGUGUAGCGGUGAAAUGCGUAGAUAUCUGGAGGAACACCGGUGGCGAAGGCGGCAUCCUGGACCAACACUGACACUGAGGAGCGAAAGCCAGGGGAGCAAACGGG